GUGGUCCCUAAAAGUGAUGCAGGCAUGGCUGCUGUGUCACAUGUGUGCCAGUAGGUGGCAGAGAGGAGAGAGGCUUAUGUCUAUGCUCAGUGUUCAGACCCAUGGACAUCUGAAUGGUUAGUAACCUAACACU